rnacentral:rRNA from 1 species
CGGGGUGGAGUAACGCGUGAGGAACCUGCCUCAAAGAGGGGGACAACAGUUGGAAACGACUGCUAAUACCGCAUAAGCCCACAGCUCGGCAUCGAGCAGAGGGAAAAGGAGCAAUCCGCUUUGAGAUGGCCUCGCGUCCGAUUAGCUAGUUGGUGAGGUAACGGCCCACCAAGGCGACGAUCGGUAGCCGGACUGAGAGGUUGAACGGCCACAUUGGGACUGAGACACGGCCCAG